AGGUAGCAUACUUGUCUAUCAUGUAUCACAUCCCAAUGCCAUAGGGGAAAAUAAGGAAGAUUUCUUGACUUGUGUCAAGAAAUAUGUAUUGUGUCUGUGUGGGUUUUUUUUUUUUCUUUUGGUAAAAAUUGUUCCUUGAAAGCUGGUCUUUUGUUUUUUAGAAUACAUGUUCUGUAAAACCUGGGCUAUUUUUUAAUAAGUGUUUUCUUGAAACUUCUCUUUGAGACCUAGUUCUAGCUGGUCUUACCUCCCUUCUGGAGACCUGCCCCACCUCUAGCUCACUUUCACCCUCAUGUCUGAGCUUCACAAGUGCUG
rnacentral:lncRNA from 1 species